rnacentral:rRNA from 1 species
AAUCAACGCUGGCGGCGUGCCUAACACAUGCAAGUCGAACGCGAAAGCCCCUUCGGGGGUAAGUAGAGUGGCGUCCGGGUGAGUAACACGUAGGUAAUCUACCUUCGGGUGGGGAAUAACCAGUCGAAGAUUGGCUAAUACCGCAUAAUGCAGCGGCACCUAAUGGUGAUUAGUUGUUAAAGACGGGGGAUCGUAAGACCUCGCGCCUGAAGA